GGCGAAGGAAAUGGGAUGAGAAGGCGCCCAACUCCGUAUAUUGCCACGGCGAAGAAGUGCACAACCAGGCUCAGAGGGCGAGGAUUGAGGCCAGACAGCAAGGAUAUGGGGCCAGCGGAGAACGAUCCUCCAAGGCUCAGAUAAUCAAAGCAAGCCUGGCGCAUCUCGCUCAUCGCCCGGUCGGGGGAGGCACUGAAGACCUUGUACAGCGCACCCGCCAAGGUGUUUAUCGUAGAUGCGACCGGCUGUUGAGCAGGGGAAAAAAAGAGAUUAUGACCGAUAUUUAUCAGGAUUAUAAAAAUCAAUUUCAUCAAAGAAGAACUGUGCCGGGAAGGGCAUUGCUGAUGCGAAAAUAUUAUGUGGAAAACUGUAUUUCCCUGCGCACCCCCCCCCUCACCUUUCUUAAUGUAUAAAAAGAUUCCAGGUAUUUGCACAGAGCUGGCGCAUCGUGGAGAUUGUGCAGAGGCUUGAGAAGAUUACGCAGGACGACAAUGUCAGACAAUGCCACAGUCAUGCCUCCGCCAGUCAAGGGAUGACGCAUGUUGAAUGCAUCCCCCAUUAAUAAGGCUCCA
rnacentral:lncRNA from 1 species